rnacentral:rRNA from 1 species
GAUGAACGCUGACAGAAUGCUUAACACAUGCAAGUCUACUUGAACUUCGGUUUGGGUGGCGGCCGGGUGAGUACCGCGUACAGAACUUGCCUCAAAGAUAGGGACAAUAUUUGGAAACGAAUGCUAAUACCUGAAAUUAUGAUCUUAGGGCAUACUAGAAUUAUGAAAGAUAUCUGCACUGUUAGAGAGCUUUGCGUCACAUUAGCUAGUUGGUGAGGUAACGGCUCACCAAGGCGAUGAUGGGUAGCCGGCCUGAGAGGGUGAUCGGCCACAAGGGGACAGAGGCACGGCCAGUACUCCUAAGUGAGGCAGCGGUGGGGAAUAUUGGACAAUGGACCAAGAGUCUGAUCCAGGCAUUCUGUUUGCAAGGUGAAGUUUUUCGGAAUGAAAAGUGCUUUCAGUUGAGAAGAAAAAAAUGACGGUACCAACAGAAGAAGUGACGGCUAAAUACGUG